rnacentral:piRNA from 1 species
UCGGAUCAUUCCCAUAUGACAGAGGAGAA